UACGAAGGGGCUAGCGUUGCUCGGAAUCACUGGGCGUAAAGCGCACGUAGGCGGACUCUUAAGUCGGUGGUGAAAUCCUGGAGCUCAACUCCAGAACUGCCUUCGAUACUGAGAGUCUUGAGUCCGGGAGAGGUGAGUGGAACUGCGAGUGUAGAGGUGAAAUUCGUAGAUAUUCGGAAGAACACCAGUGGCGAAGGCGGCUCACUGGACUGGUAUUGACGCUGAGGUGGCGAAAGCGUGGGAGCAAACAGG
rnacentral:rRNA from 1 species